rnacentral:rRNA from 1 species
GACGAACGCUGGCGGCGUGCUUAACACAUGCAAGUCGAACGGAAAGGCCCUGCUUGUGUGGGGUUCUCGAGGGGCGAACGGGGGAGUAACACGUGAGUAACCUGCCCUAGACUUUGGGAGAACUUCAGGAAACUGGGGCUAAGACCGGAUAGGAGCCCCUGCUGCAUGGAGGGGGUUGGAAAGUUUCGGCGGUUGGGGAUGGACUCGCGGCUUAUCAGCUUGUUGGUGGGGUAGUGGCUUACCAAGGCUUUGACGGGUAGCCGGCCUGGGAGGGUGACCGGCCACAUUGGGACUGAGGUACGGCCCAGACUCCUACGGGGGGCAGCAGUGGGGAAUCUUGCCCAAUGGGCGGAAGCCUGAUGCAGCAACGCCGCGUGCGGGAUGACGGCCUUCGGGUUGUAAACCGCUUUCGCCUGUGACGAAGCGUGAGUGACGGUAAUGGGUAAAGAAGCACCGGCUAACUACGUG